rnacentral:rRNA from 1 species
UACGUAGGGAGCAAGCGUUGUUCGGAUUUACUGGGCGUAAAGGGCGCGUAGGCGGCAAAUCAGGUCAGCUGUGAAAUCUCCGGGCUUAACCCGGAAAGGUCAGCCGAUACUGCGGGGCUAGAGUGCAGAAGGGGCAACUGGAAUUCUUGGUGUAGCGGUGAAAUGCGUAGAUAUCAAGAGGAACACCUGAGGUGAAGACGGGUUGCUGGGCUGACACUGACGCUGAGGCGCGAAAGCCAGGGGAGCAAACGGG